rnacentral:rRNA from 1 species
GAUGAACGCUAGCUACAGGCUCAACACAUGCAAGUCGAGGGGCAGCAUGGUCUUAGCUUGCUAAGGCCGAUGGCGACCGGCGCACGGGUGAGUAACACGUAUCCAACCUGCCGUCUACUCUUGGACAGCCUUCUGAAAGGAAGAUUAAUACAAGAUGGCAUCAUGAGUCCGCAUGUUCACAUGAUUAAAGGUAUUCCGGUAGACGAUGGGGAUGCGUUCCAUUAGAUAGUAGGCGGGGUAACGGCCCACCUAGUCUUCGAUGGAUAGGGGUUCUGAGAGGAAGGUCCCCCACAUUGGAACUGAGACACGGUCCAAACUCCUACGGGAGGCAGCAGUGAGGAAUAUUGGUCAAUGGGCGAGAGCCUGAACCAGCCAAGUAGCGUGAAGGAUGACUGCCCUAUGGGUUGUAAACUUCUUUUAUAAAGGAAUAAAGUCGGGUAUGGAUACCCGUUUGCAUGUACUUUAUGAAUAAGGAUCGGCUAACUCCGU